rnacentral:lncRNA from 1 species
UUUAUUGAGAGUAGUUAUAAAUGUGGAAUUGAUGGUAGCUGGACUCCGCAAGGAAUUUUUCACAUUGUUAUCUUUGGGGUGUGAACAAAAUCAAUUAUUAAAACUUUAACUUAAAAUUAUAUUUUUUGUGCUUCAAAGACCAUCAUCAAAAAGUAAAAAGUUAGUGCACCCAGAAUGGGACAAAAUAUUUAAAAAUUAUAUAUCUGAUUUGACCCAUAAUAUAUAAGUAGUUCUUAAAACUUAAUAAUAAGACAAAUAGAAAAGUUAAAAAUGUUCCAAGCGUUGGAAUAGAC